CUACGGGUGGCUGCAGUGGGGAAUAUUGCACAAUGGAGGAAACUCUGAUGCAGCAACGCCGCGUGGAGGAUGACACUUUUCGGAGCGUAAACUCCUUUUAUAUAGGAAGAUAAUGACGGUACUAUAUGAAUAAGCACCGGCUAACUCCGUGCCAGCAGCCGCGGUAAUACGGAGGGUGCAAGCGUUACUCGGAAUCACUGGCGUAAAGAGCGUGUAGGCGGGUUAAUAAGUCAGAAGUGAAAUCCUAUGGCUCAACCAUAGAACUGCUUUUGAAACUGUUAACCUAGAGUGUGGGAGAGGUAGAUGGAAUUUCUGGUGUAGGGGUAAAAUCCGUAGAGAUCAGAAGGAAUACCGAUUGCGAAGGCGAUCUACUGGAACAUAACUGACGCUGAGACGCGAAAGCGUGGGGAGCAAACAGGAUUAGAUACCCGCGUAGUC
rnacentral:rRNA from 1 species